rnacentral:rRNA from 1 species
AUGACUAUAAGGAACCAACGAUUCUCUCUUCUUAAACAACCUAUAUACUCCACACUUAACAAGCAUUUGAUAGAUUAUCCAACCCUGAGCAAUCUUAGUUAUUGGUGGGGGUUCGGUUUGUUAGCGGGUAUUUGUUUAGUCAUUCAGAUAGUGACUGACGUUUUUUUAGCUAUGCAUCACACACCUCAUGUGGAUCUAGCUUUCAACAACGUAGAACACAUUAUGAGAGAUGUUGAAGGGGGCUGGUUGCUCCGUUAUAUGCAUGCUAAUGGGGCAAGUAUGUUUCUCAUUGUGGUUCACCUUCAUAUUUUUCAUGGUCUAUAUCAUGCGAGUUAUAGCAGUCCUAGGGAAUUUGUUCGGUGUCUCGGAGUUGUCAUAUUCCUAUUAAUGAUUGUGACAGCUUUUAUAGGAUACGUACCACCUUGGGGUCAGAUGAGCUUUUGGGGAGCAACAGUAAUUACAAGCUUAGCUAGCGCCAUACCAAUAGUAGGAGAUACCAUAGUGACUUGGCUUUGGGGUGGUUUCUCCAUGGACAAUGCCACCUUAAAUCGUUUUUUAGUCUCCAUCAUUUACUCCCCCUUAUUUUAG